ACGUAGGUGGCGAGCGUUGUCCGGAAUUACUGGGUGUAAAGGGUGCGCAGGCGGGACGACAAGUUGGAUGUGAAAUCUCCCGGCUCAACUGGGGGGAUGCAUUCAAAACUGUUGUUCUUGAGUGAGGUAGAGGCUGGCGGAAUUUCCGGUGUAGCGGUGAAAUGCGUAGAUAUCGGGAGGAACACCAGUGGCGAAGGCGGCCAGCUGGGCCUUUACUGACGCUGAGGCACGAAAGCAUGGGUAGCAAACAG
rnacentral:rRNA from 1 species